AGCUCCAAUAGCGUAUAUUAAAGUUGUUGCGGUUAAAAAGCUCGUAGUUGGAUUUCUGUCGAGAACGGCCGGUCCGCACUAUGUGCGUGUAUCUGGUUCGGUCUUGGCAUCCUCUUGGAGAACGUAACUGCGCUUGAUUGCGUGGUGCGGUAUUCAAGACUUUUACUUUGAGGAAAUUAGAGUGUUCACGGCAGGCAAGCGCCUUGAAUAUAUUAGCAUGGAAUAAUAAUAUAGGAUCUCGGUUCUAUUUUGUUGGUUUCUAGAAUCAGGAUAAU
rnacentral:rRNA from 1 species